rnacentral:rRNA from 1 species
CCGUCGCUCCUACCGAUUGAAUGGUCCGGUGAAGUUUUCGGAUCGCGGCGACGCCGGCGGUUCGCCGCCGGUGUUGUUGUGAGAAGUUCAUUAAACCUUAUCAUUUAGAGGAAGGAGAAGUCGUAACAAGGUUUCCGUAGGUGAACCUGCGGAAGGAUCAUUGAACACACGAUCUGUGAAAAACUAUGCGAAUCGUUUUGUACAAAGAGGGAUCGUGCCCGGAGGCACGAUCGUCGGUGCCCGAGUCGAGAUUCAUGUGCGCUAGCCUUGAUGGUCCCGUUUGGUGCGCGGCGGGAUCGAGUGACUGGGGUUCAACCGUCGGAUCGCCCCAUACGCGCAUGGUUUCGAGUCCUCGGAUUCGGAGUCGGGAGUGCGUCCCCUCCUCCAGCGGAGGGGGAGUCUCUUUUUCUCCCCAAGAAACUCGGUAAAACUUAAGAUGAUUGACUGAUGGGAGUCGGGAGUGCCUCGUGCUCCGAGAUCUCACGAAAGCGAAAACACCAAUGACUCUCAGCAACGGAUAUCUUGGCUCUUGCAACGAUGAAGAACGCAGCGAAAUGCGAUACCUAGUGUGAAUUGCAGAAUUCCGCGAAUCAUCGAGUUUUUGAACGCAAGUUGCGCCCGAGGCUCGUCUGAGGGCAUGCCUGCCUGAGCGUCCGCUCCGACCCACCCACCAGCCCUAUCCUCCUCCGCAAGAGGGGAAGGCAGAGGCGAGUGCGAGUGGAAUUGGUCGUCCGAGAACUCGCUCGUCUCCGUCGACGAGUUCGAGAUCGUCGGUCGGCUGAAAACGUGAGCCGUCCGUCAAAACGCACACUGGGACAACGGUGCGUCGCGAGAAGGUGCCGUCCCUCUCCGGUCGUUCUCGACGGAGGAGGGAUGCUUGUUUUAGAGCGACGUGCCUUCCCGGUGGGGUCGAGAUUUGGCGGUUCGGCGAGAGACUGAACAUGGGGAGCGUCCUGGACAGUCCCCCCCGCUGAACUCUCUCGGAAGAGAGGGGGACGCGGGGGAUGUCCGGUCCGAACGCAACGUUGCUCGGACCUCAGAUCAGGCAAGACCACCCGCUGAGUUUAAGCAUAUCACUAAGCGGAGGAAAAGAAACUAACAAGGAUUUCCUUAGUAACGGCGAGCGAACCGGAAGUAGCCCA